CUCCUUCGCACCCCGGGCGCCUGGGAACCUCCUCGCGCGUUUGGCCACUCGCUGCUCCUGGCAGUAGGGGCUUCGGGCCCCGCCGCUGUCCCCACCCAGACCUCUGGGCCUGUGGUGGGAGGGACUGAGGAAGAUCUCUGAAAUGCCCUGGAGACAUUUUCCCUACUGUCUUGACACGUGUCCCAAGCAGCCCUCCUUGGCAAAUCUACAUUUCCUUACCCAACCAGGACCUGUGGCAAACAGUCUGGCCUCUCCUUGUCCUAAUUCCAAAGUUCAGGAAUCUGACUGGCCCAGCCUGGCCUCUAGAGUGGUUGCCUGUGAGUCAGGUACCUGCUUCUGCCCCAGUUAACUGGACAAGGAGGCUGGGCUGCAUAGAAGAACCAAGGACCCAGGAGACUCCCUGGGCUUGUGGGCUGAGCAGGUACCUACUGAAGAAACCUGAAGAAAACUGAAGAAACCUACUUCAGUUUGGCCGGUCCUGGGGACUAGGAGCAGGCCAGGCUAUACUCCAGUGCCCCUUCAGACAAUUGGUGAAGGGCCAUUAAACAGAAAAAAAAAAAAGUUGGUGAGGAAGAAAAAGGCUCAAUUAAAAAGCUCCAAAUAUGACCCUGCUCUACUACUGUGAACUGAGUACUAUGUGCUUGGAUGUGUUAAGGACGGAGGCCAUUGCCAUGUGAAGAAGAAGCAAGUCACUAAGUCCAGUCCGCACCAAAGGGGAAAAGAAUUAAGUCCCACUUCCCAGAGGAGGUGUAUCAAAGAAUCUGUGGACAUCUGUUAAAACCACCAUGGUCAUUAAUAUUUUGAAGAAAAUGCUUUAAGGCUAUCCAAAUGUUGUGUUGCUCCUUAACAUUUCAUUCACUCUUUUAGCAUUCAUCAGUGGAUCUUGCCUUUUUAACAUAAAUAAUGUCACAUUAGCCAUUGUUUGACAAAAUACAUAAUGUCAAUAAGCUAUUGUGAAAUCAGGUCUUGUAUUGUACUAACCACAAUAAAAUCUACACGGUCUAGAUGAAUUUAAAAGGUAUUGCAUUCAGGGCUGAUUCAGAGCUGGGACCUGUGGCCAUAUUAGCUUAAUUAUUGAAAUACAUCUGUCCCUACUCUGUUCUAAGUCCCAUUUCUGCCCAACUCUUGGGAAACCUCUCCACAGUUAAAAACAACUUUCUAGACAUUUCUGUUAAGUAUACUGUGGUAUUAUGACAUAUAUUGGUUUUUGUGCACAGUUCCGGGUUCAUAACUCCCAUAGCCCUUGUUACAGUCUUUUGUUACAAUGUUGGGCGUGUUAGGCCUCAGGGGCAGGCCUCAGGAAACAGAAUCUCUCUUUCUUCUGCCCUCCUUUCAUCUGCCCCAAGGCAGGCCUCUAAUCUACCCCCACCUUUCUGACUAUGAGUAUUAAGACCCUGUACACACUGAGGAAAGGAAUGCUGAUGUCAUGAAGCUUCUAUAAAAACCCAAAAGGGCCAGGUGUGGUGGCUCACACCUGUAACCCCAGCACUUUGGGAGGCUGAGGUGGAAGGCUUGAGCCCAGGAGUUUGAAACUAGCCUGGGCAACAUAAUGGAACCUGGCCUCUACCAAAAAAAAAAUUAAAAAAUUAGCCAGGCAUGAUGGUAAAAGUCUUUAGUCCUAGCUACUUGGGUGGCUGAGGUAGGAGGAUCACUUGAGCCCAGGAGGUCAAGGCUGCAGUGAGCUGUUAUCCAUGCCACUGCACUCCAGCCUGGGCCACAGAGCAAAAACUUGUCUACAAAAAAAGAGAAAACAUGGCCAGGCACAGUGGCUCAAGCCUGUAAUCCCAGCACUUUGGGAGGCCAAGACAGGAGGAUCACCUGAGGUCAGGAGUUCUAGACCAGCCUGGUCAACAUGGCGAAACCCCAUCUCUAGUAAAAACACAAAAAAUUAGCUGGGCGUGGUGGUGGGCGCCUGUAGUCCCAGCUACUUGGGAGGCUGAGGCAGGACAAUCUCUUGAACCUGGGAGGCAGAGGUUGCAGUGAGCCGAGAUCAUGUCACUCCACUCCAGCUUGGGCAACAGAGCAAGACUCUGUCAAAAAAAAAGAAAGAAAGAAGGAAAGAAGGAAGGAAGGAAAGAAGGGAGGGAGGGAAGGAGAAAGGAAGGAAGGAGAAGAGAGAGAAAGAGAGAGAAAGAAAAUAAAAAUAAAAAACAAAACAAAAAUACCCAAGAGGACUGGGUUGGGAGAGCUCCGGGUAGCUGAACACGUGGAGGUUCCUGGAGGGUGAUGUGCCCAGGGAGGACAUGGAAGCUCUGAGUCCCUUCUCCCAUACUUUGCCCUCCACGUCUCUUCAUCUGUAUCCCUUGUAACAUCCUUUAUAAUAAAGCAGUUAACAUGUUUCCCUGAGUUCUGUGAGCCGCUCCUGCAAAUUAAUCCAACCCAAAAAGGGGGUCAUGGGACCACAACUUGAAGCCAAUCCCCGCACUGGCUUCAGGAAGUUUUGGAGGCCCGGACUUGCAACUAUUUCCCAGGGACUAGGGAAAAAGAGAAGAGAAGUGUCUAGGGAUGGGAGGACCGUCCUGGGGACUGAGCUCUCAACUGUGGGAUCUCACGUUAUCUGCAAAGAGACAGUGUUGGAAUUGAAUUG
rnacentral:lncRNA from 1 species